rnacentral:lncRNA from 1 species
CUUUGUCAAAAAUAAGACUAUCCUAUUCCGCACCAUUGACUAAUAAGUUAGUCACCUCCCCCGAAAUUUGGUCUUUAUCCUCCAUUAGAAAAUGACAAAAUCUAAACCAAAAUACUCUCCAGGAAGAGAGACGGAACAACUCUCUAGGAAGAGAGACAAAACAACUUCAGAAUCAAAACUGCAGAUAAUUAGAAGCAAGAAAGACAACUUGCAACAUGUUCACGUUCAUAAUGUAGCUCCUUAUUCACUCUAUCAUUUUUACAAACACUUGGCAGGCUUCACUCUGUCAUUUUUACAAACACUUGGCAGGCACAUAUUUCCAUCGAAAAUAUAACAUCUUUCUCCAUUUAAACCAAAUCUUUAGUAUUCAAAACAACAGACAUCUAUCUCAAAUUUACCAUUCCCACAAUACAGAAGCAGAUUCAUAGACGGCUGAACAGUAGUGGAAAACACAGAAGACGAAGAGCAUGAAGCAAUACCCGACGGAGACGCCAAGGUCAGCCAUUUAGCAGCUUCGGAUGGUGGA